AGAUGCUGUCUCAGAUUAGCCAUGCAUGUCUCAGUAUAAGCUUCUAUACGGCGAAACUGCGAAUGGCUCAUUAAAACAGUUAUAGUUUAUUUGAUGGUCAACAAUUACAUGGAUAACCGUGGUAAUUCUAGAGCUAAUACAUGCGCCCAAACCCAACUUCGUGGAAGGGUUGUGUUUAUUAGAUACAGAACCAACCCAGGCUCCGCCUGGCAUUGAGGUGAUUCAUAAUAACCGAACGGAUCGCAUGGUUCGCCGGCGACAAAUCAUUCAAGUUUCUGACCUAUCAGCUAUCGUCGGUAGGGUAUUGGCCUACCGUGGCAAUGACGGGUAACGGAGAAUUAGGGUUCGAUUCCGGAGAGGGAGCCUGAGAAACGGCUACCACAUCUAAGGAAGGCAGCAGGCGCGCAAAUUACCCAAUCCUGACAUAGGGAGGUAGUGACAAGAAAUACCAAUACGGGGCAUCCAUGUCUCGUAAUUGGAAUGAGUAAACUUUAAAUCAC
rnacentral:rRNA from 1 species